GGGCACCACCAGGGGGUCUUGCUGCUGCUUCUUUGACUCAACACGGGAAAUCUCACCAGGCCCGGACACCGGAAGGAUUGACAGAUUAACAGCUCUUUCUUGAUUCGGUGGGUGGUGGUGCAUGGCCGUUCUUAGUUGGUGGAGCGAUUUGUCUGGUUAAUUCCGGUAACGAACGAGACUCUAGCCUGCUAAAUAGGCGUUGCCAUUUAGGUGUGCUCGACUUCGGUCGUGCAGCUCACUGGCUACGUAUUAAAAUUCUUCUUAGAGGGACCGGCGGCUUCGAGCCGCACGAGAUUGAGCAAUAACAGGUCUGUGAUGCCCUUAGAUGUCCUGGGCCGCACGCGCGCUACACUGAAGGAAUCA
rnacentral:rRNA from 1 species